AGAGUUUGAUUCUGGCUCAGAACGAACGCUGGCGGCGUGGAUAAGACAUGCAAGUGGGACGCUAAUCAAUAGGUAGCAAUAUUCGUUGGUUGGAGUCGCGUAAGGGUGCGUAACACGUGGGUAAUUUGCCGUGAAGCUCGGAAUAACUUGCCGAAAGGUAAGCUAAUACCGAAUGUGACUUGUGCUGGGCAUCCAGUAUCAGUCAAAGCCGGGGAUCGUAAGACCUGGCACUUCAUGAUAAGCCCGCGGCCUAUCAGCUAGUUGGUGAGGUAACGGCUCACCAAGGCUUAGACGGGUAGCUGGUCUUAGAGGACGACCAGCCACACUGGAACUGAGACACGGUCCAGACACCUACGGGUGGCAGCAGUCGAGAAUUUUUCACAAUGGGCGAAAGCCUGAUGGAGCGACGCCGCGUGGGGGAUGAAUGGCUUCGGCCCGUAAACCCCUGUCAUUCGGGAUCAAAUCUGGCAACCUAAUACGUUGUCAGUUGAUAGUACUGAAAGAGGAAGGGACGGCUAACUCUGUGCCAGCAGCCGCGGUAAUACAGAGGCCCCAAGCGUUGUUCGGAUUUACUGGGCGUAAAGGGAGCGUAGGUGGCAUUCCAAGUCUGAUGUGAAAGCUCUGAGCUUAACUCAGAAAUGGCAUUAGAUACUGGUUUGCUUGAGGAUUGGAGGGGAGAUUGGAAUUCUUGGUGUAGCAGUGAAAUGCGUAGAUAUCAAGAGGAACACCAGUGGCGAAGGCGAAUCUCUGGACAAUUCCUGACACUGAUGCUCGAAAGCUAGGGGAGCAAACGGGAUUAGAUACCCCGGUAGUCCUAGCUGUAGACGGUGCACGCUUGCUGUAGGUGGAAUCGACCCCGCCUGUAGCGAAGCUAACGCGUUAAGCGUGCCGCCUGGGAAGUACGGUCGCAAGAUUAAAACUCAAAGAAAUUGACGGGGGCCUGCACAAGCGGUGGAGUAUGUGGCUCAAUUCGAUUCAACGCGAAGAACCUUACCUGGCCUUGACAUGCAAGUAGUAGAAGCCUGAAAGGGUGACGAGGUAGCAAUACCAGCUUGCACAGGUGCUGCAUGGCUGUCGUCAGCUCGUGUCGUGAGAUGUUGGGUUAAGUCCCGCAACGAGCGCAACCCCUGUGUCCUGUUGCUCCCGGAUAAUACCGGUGCACUCUGGACAGACUGCCUCGCUUAAACGAGGAGGAAGGUGGGGAUGACGUCAAGUCAGGAUGGCCCUUACGGCCAGGGCUGCACACGUACUACAAUGCCCAGUACAAAGGGAAGCGAGGCGGCAACGCCAAGCAAAUCCUCAAAACUGGGCCCAGUUCAGAUUGUCGUCUGCAACUCGACGGCAUGAAGCCGGAAUCGCUAGUAAUGGCGCAUCAGCUACGGCGCCGUGAAUACGUUCCCAGGCCUUGUACACACCGCCCGUCACAUCAUGAAAGCCGGUCGCACCCGAAGUCGCCCUUUAACAGGCGCCGAAGGUAUGGCUGGUGAUUGGGAUGAAGUCGUAACAAGGUAGCCGUAGGGGAACCUGCGGCUG
rnacentral:rRNA from 1 species